AGAGUUUGAUUCUGGCUCAGGACGAACGCUGGCGGCGUGCUUAACACAUGCAAGUCGAACGGGAGUAUUGAAGAAGCUUGCUUUAGAGAUACUUUAGUGGCGGACGGGUGAGUAACGCGUGAGGAGCUGUCCUAUGCAGGGGGACAACAGCUGGAAACGGCUGCUAAUACCCCAUAAGCCGAGAGGUAAAAGGAUCAAUCCGGCAGAGGAGGUACUCGCGUCCUAUCAGCUAGUAGGUGAGGUAACGGCUCACCUAGGCGAAGACGGGUAGCCGGCCUGAGAGGGCGAACGGCCACACUGGAACUGAGAUACGGUCCAGACUCCUACGGGAGGCAGCAGUGGGGAAUAUUGGGCAAUGGGGGAAACCCUGACCCAGCGACGCCGCGUGGGUGAAGAAAUCCUUCGGGAUGUAAAGCCCUGUUGUAUGGGAAGAGCGGAAGACGGUACCAUACGAGGAAGCCCCGGCAAACUACGUGCCAGCAGCGGC
rnacentral:rRNA from 1 species